AGAAAAUGUAGCCUAAUCAUCUCUACUAAAGAUCUCCUUGUGUUUAGGGAUUUUAUAGUGAAAAGUGGAGAAGGCUCCUGUACCUUUAAUGGUUGUCUAGAAGAAGGAAUUUCAUCAGGUGUUGCUUUUUACAUGAUUCAGCAGGUGUUGCUUGUUACAAGCAGAAACUCCCUCUUCUAAUCUAGACAACCAUUAUAGGCACAGGAGCCUUCUCCAGUUUAUACUCUAGCAGCUUUAACUGAUCUGGAAGGAGAUGUAACUAAGAACACGAAAGACUGAAAAUCUGAGACGAAAAGAGCCCUGGCAAAAGGUUUAUAACAAACCAAUUAAAACCAGCUGCCUGCAGAUUGGCAACAUGACAUAUCAUUUCCCUUCGGAAGAUUGCUCCAUGCCCCGUGGCAGGCAACAAAGCAUAUCUCGCAGGAUGGAGAGGGGGACCUGUUGCACUUGAAGUGAGCAGUCUUUAACCAUUUGGCCUGACUUCACUGGGAGAAGAAUGAAUAAACCAUUUAACUUUACACUUUUUUCUUGGGUAAUAUUAUUCUUUUGUAUUUGCCCAGGAAGACAGAGGUCAAGUAUGGAAAAUUAGUAUAUUUCUCCAACAAAUAAAAAUAAAUCUCUUUUUUAA
rnacentral:lncRNA from 11 species